UCCGGCAUGGUCUAGUGGUUAGGAUACUCGGCUCUCACCCGAGAGGCCCGGGUUCAAUUCCCGGUGCCGGAA